UGCAGUCGACGAUGAACCAGGAGCUUGCUCUUGGGGAUUAGUGGCGACGGGUGAGUAACACGUGAGCAAUGUGCCCUUGACUCUGGAAUAAGCGCUGGAAACGGCGUCUAAUACCGGAUACGACCAUCGGAGGCAUCUCCUGUUGGUGGAAAGAACUUCGGUCAAGGAUCAGCUCACGGCCUAUCAGCUUGUUGGUGAGGUAACGGCUCACCAAGGCGACGACGGGUAGCCGGCCUGAGAGGGUGACCGGCCACACUGGGACUGAGACACGGCCCAGACUCCUACGGGAGGCAGCAGUGGGGGAAUAUUGCACAAUGGGGCGCAAGCCUGAUGCAGCAACGCCGCGUGAGGGACGACGGGCCUUCGGGGUUGUAAACUCUCUUUUUAGCAGGGAAGAAGCGAAAGUGACGGGUGACGCUGCAGAAAAACGCCACCCCGCGCUAACUACGUGCCCAGCAGCCCGCGGGUAAUACGGUAGGGUGCAAGGCGUUGUCCGGAAAUUAUUGGGGCGUAAAGAGCUCGUAGGCGGUUUUGGUCACGUCUGGCUGUGAAAAUCCCCGGAGGCUCACCUCGGAACUUGCAGGUGGGCGCUACGGGGCAGUACCUAGAAGUGCCGAGUAGGGG
rnacentral:rRNA from 1 species